rnacentral:rRNA from 1 species
UACGUAGGGGGCUAGCGUUGUCCGGAUUUAUUGGGCGUAAAGAGCGUGUAGGCGGCCUGGAAGGUCAGCUGUGAAAACUCGAGGCUCAACCUCGAGACGUCGGUUGAAACCACCUGGCUAGAGUCCGGAAGAGGAGUGUGGAAUUCCCGGUGUAGCGGUGGAAUGCGCAGAUAGUCGGGAGGAAGACCGGUGGCGAAGGCGGUCUGCUGGGCAGUUCUGACACUGAGGCGCGACAGCGUGGGGAGCAAACAGG